AGAGCAUCCAGCUGCAACAGCCUGGUUUUCAUCUGCCUUUUCUCCCCAUGGAUAUUGUCAGUCACUUCAAUCUCAGCAAUCCUUUAUGUCAGACUUUUUUUAUCCAGGGUUUCUCAAUAUUUUGGAGAGAGAUACAGUUUUUAAUGUGACUUUGGUAUAAAUUCCUGGGCGUUCCUGCAUCUCUCUGUGCAUAUUUCCCACGUGUUUUUCCUUUUGCUCACUCCUAUUGAUUUUUCCUGUGCACCUUUUGUUUUGCUUUGUCGGUAGAAGUGGUAGACGGGGGGAAAAAAGGCUUCCAAUUUCUGCUUCUAUUUUUAUUUUUGCAUUACCUUUUCCCUUCUGUCUCUUUGCUUCUCAGCUAGGUCUCACCAGGAGUGACAAGGCAUCGCUGAGGGUCGAUGUCAUCAGUAUUUGCACUUCCUCUGUGAGGGACAAAUGUCACGGAAACAGGUGCAAAAUAAUCUCCUGACAACACCAUAAUCCCUAUUGUGGCAGAUCUUUGCAAGGUCAAACUCUGACAAAGAUUGUGUGCAAUUUCCAAACCUAGCCCUGGAGAAGAGCAGCACAAUUUAGAAUCAUCAGGACAAGAAGAGAUGGAAACUUGGCGUUGACCUUUUGAUCUUCAACUCUGUCUUGCUGACCUGGUUGUGUGUCCCUGGCAUCUGCUGCAGAUGGACAGUAGGAUGUUUCUCCCAUGUCCUGCAGGCAGUGCUGUUGGAAAGACUCAGGUCACUUUGUGCACUCAGUGACACAAGCGGCUCUGAAAUCACAAAGAACUGCACAUAAUAAAACACCUCCUUCAUCUUGGGCCCAGCUCUGCUUUCCCAGUCAUUGGUACUUUUUCUCAAUCUCUAUUUAAUGUCAGCUUCAUCUAUUUUAAUUCACUCCAAUACUCCAAAGCAGAAGCAGCUGAAACACCUAUUUCUGCAAUUAGUGCAAUCUUGCUCCUGCCUGAUAAUCUUUUCUCCAAGCUGCUGCCUGCUACCAGAAGUGCUCCUACAAGAGAUCUGUUCCUUCAGUUUAGUUCAGGAUAACUGAGAGCAAUUUAACCUUCAGAAGCAAAUACUGAUGGAAAAGUGCUAUGUGAUCCCAUUUUCAGAUGAAGACAGUAAAGUAGGGACAGUAGAACACCAGAUUUCACCUUUUCUGUACUGAAUUUCGAGGUCAUUAUCUAUUACUAUUAGGUAAUAAAAAAUUAAGUAUUACUUAUUACUAUUAGGUAAUAAAAACCUGUCUGUUCAUCA